UUGUCAGAUUGAACGCUGGCGGCUGGCUUAACACAUGCAAGUCGAACGGUAGCACAGAGAGCUUGCUCUCGGGUGACGAGUGGCGGACGGGUGAGUAAUGUCUGGGAAACUGCCCGAUGGAGGGGGAUAAAUACUGGAAACGGUAGCUAAUACCGCAUAACGUCUUCGGACCAAAGUGGGGGACCUUCGGGCCUCACACCAUCGGAUGUGCCCAGAUGGGAUUAGCUAGUAGGUGGGGUAAUGGCUCACCUAGGCGACGAUCCCUAGCUGGUCUGAGAGGAUGACCAGCCACACUGGAACUGAGACACGGUCCAGACUCAUACGGGAGGCCGCAGUGGGGAAUAUUGCACAAUGGGCGCAAGCCUGAUGCAGCCAUGCCGCGUGUAUAAGAAGGCCUUC
rnacentral:rRNA from 1 species